UAUUUAGUAUUGAGUAAUCUUAUAAAAUUAUAAGAGAUACAAUGUUAAAACUAGUAACAUGAAGCAGCCCUUCUCCCUAAUGCAAGCAAAUACCAAAAUGGACUAACCAUUGGUUCUUAACGUCCAUGAGCUCAACCUAGCAACACUCCCUUCGAAAACCCUAUGCCCAAAUUACGUUAACCUUACACUAGAGCAUUCCUGGAAAGAUAAAAAGAAAAAGAAGGAACUCGGCAAACUAAAAUCCCGCCUGUUUACCAAAAACAUCGCCUCUUGACAUACUCCCUCCUAUAAGAGGUCCAGCCUGCCCAGUGAAAUUUUAACGGCCGCGGUACUCUGACCGUGCGAAGGUAGCAUAAUCACUUGUUCUUUAAAUGAGGACUAGUAUCAACGGCAUCACGAGGAUUUUACUGUCUCCUUUUUCCUAUCGGUGAAACUGAUCUCCCCGUGAAGAAGCGGGGAUAAUAUUAUAAGACGAGAAGACCCCAUGGAGCUUUAAACCCAGUAACACCUCAAACACACCCCCUCCCAAAAAGUUUUAAUGUUCUGUUCACUGGUUUUAGGUUGGGGCGACCGCGGAGUACAACUUAACCUCCACAGCGCACGGAACUUAUUCCUUACCUGAGAGCUACACCUCAAAGAAUUAUCACAUUAACGUAAAAUGAUCCAAUAUUUUCCUUAUUGAUUAAUGAACCAAGUUACCCUGGGGAUAACAGCGCAAUCCAUUUCUAGAGCCCCUAUCGACAAAUGGGUUUACGACCUCGAUGUUGGAUCAGGGUAUCCCA
rnacentral:rRNA from 1 species